rnacentral:lncRNA from 1 species
AUUGACUCCUUUUUCCAGAAGACCUGCGAGGCCUCGAGUAUGUGGAGAUCGCUGCUGUGCUGGAUGGACGCUGUCGCCUAAAACCAGGGGAUGCACCAAACCCAGGUGUUCUCCUCCCUGCCGUAACGGGGCCCUGUGUCGACGGUUCAACAGGUGCGUGUGCAGACGAGGUUUCCAUG